GACAGAGGAUGCAAGCGUUAUCCGGAAUGAUUGGGCGUAAAGCGUCUGUAGGUGGCUUUUAAGUCCGCCGUCAAUCCCAGGGCUCAACCCUGGACAGGCGGUGGAAACUACCAAGCUGGAGUACGGUAGGGGCAGAGGGAAUUCCGGUGGAGCGGUGAAUGCGUAGAGAUCGGAAAGAACACCAACGGCGAAAGCACUCU
rnacentral:rRNA from 1 species